CACAGACGCACGUUGCCUGUCCUCCUGUUUCACUUGCGUCUCUGCUCUCCAGCAUCAUCACUGUCGCAACGGUUGCAAAUAAACCACAGUGUGAGCAAACCACUUCUACUUCUCUAACUAAUUCUUGGAAACAUGAAAGUCCCCCCCGCCUGCUUACUUGAGAAAACUGCUCUUACAGAAGUUCAACAAGAGGAAACAAAAAAAGGACAAGCUGGAUGAUCUCUCACAUCCUCCUCCAUGCGUCUAAGGUUUCAUCUGUGUUAAAAAUUUUACAUCCUUCAGUCAAAGUAACUGAUUCACAUCAACACUUUCAUUCACAAUGCGGAAGAAAACGUUUAAAUCUGUUAAUCGGAGAAUUGAUCUGGAAGAACAUUGUGAACUCUAGAAGCUGAUUGGCUGUUGGCCGCAUUUUUGAUUACAGAGGUGAUAAAGUUCAAGCAAUCAGCCUUGAAGUUUUGUGAAGAUCAAAAAUGCUAAUUUAGUUGACAUGUUAUGUUGCAGUUUUAUCGAUUCAAGCUCAAAGUUAAAAGCUAAGUGUGAAUAUAGUGGAUGAUAACAGGAUGGUAAAAAAAAAAUACCUGUCACAGAAAAUUUAAAUUUGAAAAAAACACAAAUAUUUAAUUAAAUAUAUCAAAAUUAUAAUUGGAUGAAAACUGUUUUUUUUUUAAAUAAAAUUACUUGUUUUCCUUCUGCGUAAAGAUUUUCAGGCCUUUCUUUUACUAGUUUAACUACUUUUCUGUCACUAGAGGGCACCACUGUGUAAUAAAAAUAUCUUCCGAUGCACAAAAAGACCUUUUCUUGACAAUUUGUUUCUUUGCACCAUCGCUGAAAUUUCACUUUUUCACCCUCUACUAUCACUUUCAGCCCUUAACCACAGAUGGCGGACUUCAUGUAGUCCAGAUGGAAGCAAGAGCACCCUGACUCUGCAGAGGCUGAUGGAGUAUAUAUAAAGGAGG